rnacentral:rRNA from 1 species
CCUACGGGAGGCAGCAGUGGGGAAUAUUGCACAAUGGGCGCAAGCCUGAUGCAGCCAUGCCGCGUGUGUGAAGAAGGCCUUCGGGUUGUAGAGCACUUUCAGCCGUGAGGAAGGUAGUGUAGUUAAUAGCUGCAUUACUUGACGUUAGCGACAGAAGAAGCACCGGCUAACUCCGUGCCAGCAGCCGCGGUAAUACGGAGGGUGCGAGCGUUAAUCGGAAUUACUGGGCGUAAAGCGCAUGCAGGUGGUUUGUUAUGUCAGAUGUGAAAGCCCGGGGCUCAACCUCGGAAUAGCAUUUGAAACUGGCAGACUAGAGUACUGUAGAGGGGGGUAGAAUUUCAGGUGUAGCGGUGAAAUGCGUAGAGAUCUGAAGGAAUACCGGUGGCGAAGGCGGCCCCCUGGACAGAUACUGACACUCAGAUGCGAAAGCGUGGGGAGCAAACAGGAUUAGAUACCCCUGUAGUC